rnacentral:rRNA from 1 species
AACGAACGCUGGCGGCAUGCCUAACACAUGCAAGUCGAACGAGACCUUCGGGUCUAGUGGCGCACGGGUGCGUAACGCGUGGGAACCUGCCCUUAGGUUCGGAAUAACUCCCCGAAAGGGGUGCUAAUACCGGAUAAUGUCUUCGGACCAAAGAUUUUUCGCCUUUGGAUGGGCCUGCGUUGGAUUAGCUAGUUGGUAGGGUAAAAGCCUACCAAGGCGACGAUCCAUAGCUGGUCUGAGAGGAUGAUCAGCCACACUGGGACUGAGACACGGCCCAGACUCCUACGGGAGGCAGCAGUGGGGAAUAUUGGACAAUGGGCGAAAGCCUGAUCCAGCAAUGCCGCGUGAGUGAUGAAGGCCUUAGGGUUGUAAAGCUCUUUUACCCGGGAUGAUAAUGACAGUACCGGGAGAAUAAGCUCCGGCUAACUCCGUG